rnacentral:rRNA from 1 species
UACGAAGGGGGCUAGCGUUGCUCGGAAUCACUGGGCGUAAAGGGUGCGUAGGCGGGUCUUUAAGUCAGGGGUGAAAUCCUGGGGCUCAACCCCAGAACUGCCUUUGAUACUGGCGAUCUCGAGUCCGGAAGAGGUGAGUGGAACUCCUAGUGUAGAGGUGGAAUUCGUAGAUAUUAGGAAGAACACCAGUGGCGAAGGCGGCUCACUGGCCCGGUACUGACGCUGAGGUGCGAAAGCGUGGGGAGCAAACAGG